UCACAAUGCACGCAAGUGCGAUGGGGGGACUCCGAGUGCAGUCUUCCAAAACGGAAGGCCGCUUUUCUGCACUUUAAGGAGGUGCCGAAACAAGGGGUGGGCAAGACGGCUGCCAGCCGCCGCGGUAAUAGCCGCACCCCGAGUGGUAGUCAUUGUUAUUGGGCUUAAAGUGUUCGUAGCCGGACACACAAGUCUGCUGUGAAAUCCAUGCGCUUAACGUAUGGACAUGCAGCGGAUACUGUGUGUCUAGGAACCGGACGGCGUCGAGGCUAUUCCCGGGGUAGGGGUGAAAUCCUAAAAUCCUGGGAGGAGCACCUGUGGCGAAAGCGCUCGACGAGUACGGAUUCGACGGUGAGGAACGAAAGCUAG
rnacentral:rRNA from 1 species